rnacentral:lncRNA from 1 species
UGAAAUGAGGAGCAAAAGGUUUUAACUAUAGUGAGAGAGUUAACCAGUUAUGCAGUGUUAUGCAGUAUGGAAUGAAAAGUGUUGUUGUGCACAUUUUCAUGCUCUUUCAUACCAUUAUCAAUGCUUGAUUUACAUUUAGUAUAAACACAGACACACAUCAUGCUGCCUCUACACCACUUUUCCACCUUUCAGAAUUUCCUCUCAGACUGCAAUGGGG